CCUAGGCUCUCAGAGACGAUGAAGGACGUGAUAAGCUGCGAUAAGCUACGGUGAUCAGCACAUAUGAAUUGAUCCGUAGAUUUCCGAAUGGGGCAACCCGGCUGGUUGAAGACCAGUCAUCCCGACUUGUCGGGAAGUGAACCCGGAGAACUGAAACAUCUAAGUACCCGGAGGAAAAGAAAUCAACCGAGAUUCCCUAAGUAGCGGCGAGCGAACGGGGACUAGCCCUUAAGCUAGACAACUGGUAGGAGAAGGCUCUGGAAAGUGCCGCCAUAGUGGGUGAUAGCCCCGUAUCCGAAACCUGAGUCUGGUGAAAUCGAGUAGGACGGGACACGUGAUAUCCUGUCUGAACAUGGGGGGACCAUCCUCCAAGGCUAAAUACUCCUUAUCGACCGAUAGUGAACCAGUACCGUGAGGGAAAGGCGAA
rnacentral:rRNA from 1 species